UUGAAAAGGGUCGGUUUGGGUGCAGGUUUUUGUUUUAGCCCAAUACUACAACGCUUGUUUUAACUAAUUGACUAAUCAUGGCCAUCUAGACCUUGUUACGUAGAAUCAGGUGUGUUAGUGCUGGGCUAAAACGAAAACCUGCACCAACACCUGCCCCUUUUCGGAAAAGAUUGGACACCCGUCUUCGAGUGAGGUGAAUGGCUACAGCGCGCCGUAAAAAGCAUUCGACGUUUGUGGAUACAGACGAGGUCAAAUAUAGGCCUACAAUGAAUUAUGGAUACGAAGGACCACAGCCCUGCAGAUUUGAGCCUGUUAGGCGUCCAAGGGACCAGAAACAGGCGAAGAGGAGAGCAAUUCACGGGAACGGCACGAGAUUGAGCUGUGGUCUGAGGAGAACUUGCAGAGGACUGGACAGAUGUCUUGAUGGCAGAAAAACAAUCAGAAUCAUACAGCAGAAGCAUCAAACUUUGCAGGAUGGUUAGGUGUCUCUCUCAGAUUAGAACUGGGUUGUAUGAAUUUCUUAAUGCUUUUAUCAGGUUGGUCUGUAUCCCUGUGUGUCCUGGUUUUUCUGGCAACUGACAUAAAUAAUCAGGUUUACUGGGCUACUAAUUAAGCGCUGAAGUUUCCCUACAACAAUUAAGCUAAUUUGUUACAGAUCAUGUUAAAAGGGAUGCAAGAUCCAGAUUUAUAUUCAGUUAACAGCUGAGAAGACAUGACAGUCAUUGUUGGGUCAAAGCUAGCACCCGCAGGAGUAAAACAGGGCAGCAAAUGCUGCAGUGAGACUUCCUCCUGAACCUGCUUUAGUCUCAGGGCUCAGAUACUCAGAGAGGAUGGAGGUAAAGUGGCCCCAGGUGCAUCCCAAUACUCAAAAAAAGGAAUCUUCCAGUCCUCCACUACCGCCUCAUCUCCUUCAUGCCCUGGAAACCGAUUCUCCCUCCCUCCAGUGUCUCAAUGUUGGAUGUGACGAGCAAAGCGUACAGAACUGUAUUGGCGAAACAGCUUCAAACUUGUCUCCUCACCUCCUUUCCUCAACAUACUUUUGGGUAGGAGAUAAGUGGAGUGGAGUGGAAGAAAGGAAGUGAGGAUUGAGGAGUAAUUGGAUGCACCCCCCAUAUGUGCCACAGUCCUCACUAUUCCUGAGUGGCAUUCAGUCUGAACCUGCUGAAGCACAACCCACACUGUACAGUCUAGCCUGGGGAACCAGGCCAAUGAGUGACAAGAAGGACAAAUGGACGACCACCCACCGCCUUCCCCCGUAAAUCCCUCCUCCUCUCACCUUGAGCUUGGUCCCGUCCAUCUGCAGCAGCUGUUCUCCGUCAAUGUCUCUGGCAGUGAAUUCUUGGAUAUACUGCUCCAUGUUGAGGCCCUUCAGCCACUGGCACACCUGCUGGGUGCUCCAGGCUGACACCAAGCACAGCGGCUCGUCCAGGGGCUGCGCAUGCACAAACAUUAGCGAUUAGCGUCUGUAUAAUAGUCAAUAUCCUCACGUGCUAAUAUCUAAUAAAUAAUAAAGUACUUAGAGCAAUAAUUGGUUUGUAAAUCUGUCUAUCAAUAGGCAACAAGUCAUGAUAUUUAAUGUAACAUAAAUACAUUGGUUUCAA